rnacentral:lncRNA from 1 species
GGAAGUGACAGACAGUUCUUCUGUUGUGUCAGAUCCUGUUCAAUAUAAAUACUUGCAAUGUUAUUAAAGUGAGUUAACUGCUAAUAGCCAUAUUCACUUUGCUGCCCAGUGUGUGUGAGAGAAGCUGAACUAACUAAACACUCGACUGUCUCGACAGGUAGACAUAUCACAUUGAUUGCGUUUGAACAACUUCUUCACGAACAUCCUUGCAAUGCUGACUUGCACCACGAAUGCUGACUUGCAUCACGAAUGCUGUCUUCCCACAACGGCGACUGAUGAGACGGCAAGUUGACAAGAACAUUUGCAACUAUUCAUCCUAGACAAGCAACAGAAAGGGAUGGUUUUGAAACUCCUAUCUAUCCAUCUAUCCAUCCAUCUAUCCGAUCGUGCCUUCAGAAAGUAUUCACACCCCUUGAUGUUUUUCACAGUUUGUUGUAUUACAGCCUCAAUUUAAAAUGGAUUAAAUUUAGAUGUUGUGUCACUGUCCUACACACAAUACCCCAUAAUGUCAAAGUGGAAUCGUGUUGUUAGAAAUGGUUACAAAUGAAUAAAAAAUUAAAAUCUGAAAUGUCUUCUGUAUGUAUUCAACC